rnacentral:rRNA from 1 species
UACGGAGGGUGCAAGCGUUAUCCGGAUUCACUGGGUUUAAAGGGUGCGUAGGCGGCUAAAUAAGUCAGUGGUGAAAGCUUACAGCUUAACUGUGAAACUGCCAUUGAAACUGCUUAGCUUGAAUCUGGUUGAAGUGGGCGGAAUACAUCAUGUAGCGGUGAAAUGCUUAGAUAUGAUGUAGAACACCGAUUGCGAAGGCAGCUCACUAAGCCAACAUUGACGCUGAGGCACGAAAGCGUGGGGAGCGAAC